rnacentral:rRNA from 1 species
GACGAACGCUGGCGGCGUGCCUAACACAUGCAAGUCGAACGGAGCUUUAUGGAAUGCGACUUCGGUCAAAUGAAGUUUAAGCUUAGUGGCGGACGGGUGAGUAACGCGUGAGUAACCUGCCUUACAGAGGGGGACAACAGUUGGAAACGACUGCUAAUACCGCGUAAGACCACAGUACCGCAUGGUACAGGGGUCAAAGGAGCAAUCCGGUUUAAGAUGGGCUCGCGUCCGAUUAGCUAGUGGUGAGAUAACAGCCACCAAGGCAACGAUCGGUAAGCCGACCUGAGAGGGUCGAUCGGCCACAUUGGAACUGAGACACGGUCCAGACUCCUAC